rfam:[Clostridium] termitidis CT1112 Ct_contig00023, whole genome shotgun sequence.
UAAAAGUGCUUACUGAAAUUUGUAAGUGAACAAUAAGUAUUUUUGUCGUCAAAUUGACAGGAUGUAAAUUUGAGCAGCACACGAGACACGGAUGUCGAGUUGCUGCGACGGCAAGAAAAUACUUAUUGUGAACCGUACUAUUUCACGUAAGCGAUUUGU